GUAUGAAGUAAGCUUCAAGAGCUUCACUAUACAUUCACUAUACAUACAUGAAUAUGUGAGGACAGAAAUAACAAUAUGAACAAAAUAACAUAAAUAAAUGUGGAGAAAAGACCGUCAUGGAUAAUUCAUGUGAUGGAGUGAGUGGUGGAACUCAUAUCCGGACUUGUUGCGAUUGUGAAGUUUAUUUCCUUUCACGCACAGGGAUGUUUUAAUAAUGGGCUCUGCGAGAGCCUCGUUGCCUGGCAACCGCCUGCUGUCAACAUGCAGGCUGUGUUACCGUGGGAACAGGAUGACUGGUGGGAAGAGUGGGACACAAAGCUGCGUUCCAGCAAACAGUGAUCAGCUGACAUCUGGGGUCAACAUCAUGAGAUCCAACAGUACUGAGAUGGUGAUAAACAAGGGUGAGGAGAGAAGAAGCUUCACCGGCACACAGUUCAUCCAUAUACAACACCCGUGCCGUGAGUCAGUUCACACGCUCUUCACGCAGACAGAGGUGAGUCAGUGAGUGACAGAGGCGACCCUGCCGCUGCGCCUCCCUCUCCUCCUCAACACCUGUCAGUCACUCUAAUGGCUGUCACACUCCUCCCCACUGUCUGGCUCUUGCCUGUCAUGAAUCUGACAUAAGCACAGCCAUGGAAUGAUGCUGGGAAUGGGAAUUUUACAAAGUGAAUGCAUUUAUGCAUUUAUUUUGGUCAUCUUGUGUUUUUUUUUUUUUUUUUUAAUUAGUGAGAAUGAAAUCAAAAUUGACCUUGUUUACUUUUUUUAAAUGCACAUUCAUAGUCUUAAUUUGGAUGAUGAAUCCAUGUUUUUUGUUUGUUUGUUUUUUUCAUAAUCUUUUAUCAAAAUGAAAUUAUUUGCUUCCCCUAGAAACCACCUGACUCCAUUCUGGUAAAUAAAAUUCCUUGCACUUUCA
ensembl:lncRNA